UACGGGAGGGAGCUAGCGUUGUUCGGAUAUACUGGGCGUAAAGCGCACGUAGGCGGCGCAGCAAGUCAGGGGUGAAAUCCCGGAGCUCAACUCCGGAACUGCCUUUGAAACUGCAGUGCUAGAAUCCUGGAGAGGCGAGUGGAAUUCCGAGUGUAGAGGUGAAAUUCGUAGAUAUUCGGAAGAAACACCAGUGGCGAAGGCGACUCGCUGGACAGGUAUUGACGCUGGAGGUGCGAAAAGCGUGGGGAGCAAACAGG
rnacentral:rRNA from 1 species